CAUUGUUCUCCUUAUCUAAUUAAUUUAUUUAAAGCUAUGCAUUUUCCAGGGAUUACAGCCUUGACUACAUCUCAUAUUUUGAUAGGCAGUGUAUUUAUUUAUUUAUUUCUUAGGCAGUGUAUUUAAUAGUCUCUUAAAAUCCAAAAGGGCCUGCUGCUUGUUUUUUUAUAGGGUGGGAAAUAUCAAUUUUAUUUCUCUAAGUUAGAAUCCCCCCACUUUUGAUAGAGAUUGAAAAUACCAUAUACUUGAGGCCCUAAGCUCUUCUGCCUUGAGAGUGAAGGGGGGUAUGUCUCUCUUAUCUGCUUUGUCCUUCUCUCCUUUAUCUUCUUCACAUUUCAAGGAUCACGUCUUGGUGUCCACGUCACAAGAUACUGAUUAGGAAUCACCUGCCCUCAUCUUCCCAGCUCAGAGGGACAGCCUCCCCAGGAGAGUAAUACCCAGAAACACACCUUUUUCUCAUCAGUGGCUCUUAAAAUGUGCUGAAACCCAUGGUUUAAGUAGGUCCUUUUUUUUUUUAGAUUUUAGGACUCCAUAUUCUAAGAAUGAAGUGACAUCAGAGAAGUAAUUGCUAUCGUGCAAGAUGUUGAAAAGGUAGCAGCGGACCCAGGGCUGAAAGCCUCCUUUGGGAACACCUGUUAGAAGCCACACACCUGCUUCCGGAUGACCUCAGUCCUGGCCAUGCGGGCAUCCAAGGAUGGCGGCUAGCCGUUCAUAAAUCCAGUCCCCUCGGCAUUCCUUCAUCGCAUGCUGGAUCAGAAGGCUCCCUGUUCGGGUUUUGUUCCACCCAAUUUCUGGAGGUGGAAAACGUUGAUGUUUGCUGAGAGCCUGGAAAAGCAGCUCGGCGCACACUAUUAGCAGUUGUGAUGUGUCAAUGUCACGGCCGCAGAGGACUUACUUCUAAGCGUUUAGAAACACUAUUGUCACCCAGAUAUUAAAGGACCACUGCUGAGAGAUGCUGUGAAUUAGAACAUAAAAGGGAAAACGUAUUUGCCUAUCUCACAGGAGUUAUUCGGAGUCAG
rnacentral:lncRNA from 1 species